UAAGGAAUAUUGGUCAAUGGAGGCAACUCUGAACCAGCCAUGCCGCGUGCAGGACGACUGCCCUAUGGGUUGUAAACUGCUUUUAUACGGGAAUAAACCCCGCUACGUGUAGCGGGCUGAAUGUACUGUAAGAAUAAGGAUCGGCUAACUCCGUGCCAGCAGCCGCGGUAAUACGGAGGAUCCAAGCGUUAUCCGGAGUUAUUGGGUUUAAAGGGUGCGUAGGCGGCCCGACAAGUCAGAGGUGAAAGACGGUAGCUUAACUAUCGCAGUGCCUUUGAAACUGUUAGGCUUGAAUGUACUUGAGGUGGGCGGAAUGUGACAAGUAGCGGUGAAAUGCAUAGAUAUGUCACAGAACUCCAAUUGCGAAGGCAGCUCACUAAGGUAUGAUUGACGCUGAUGCACGAAAGCGUGGGGAUCAAACAGG
rnacentral:rRNA from 1 species